rfam:Parcubacteria group bacterium CG1_02_40_25 cg1_0.2_scaffold_13508_c, whole genome shotgun sequence.
GGGGAUGCCAGGCCUCGACAAAGUCGUCGCGUUAAAUUUAGCAAGUCGAGAACGCCAAAAACUCGUAAAAAUUUAGCAAAAUGAUAAGUGCCAACUUAUUCUCAAAAACCAAGCAAGCGUUAACUUCAUUGUUUAACGCUCCUAGCUUAGUUCCUGUUUACGCCUAAAGCGUAAGCCCUUGCCUAAUUGACUCCUAAUAAAUUGGGCAAUGCAAUCAUUAGGACAAAAUAAAAUCUUGGUCUUUUAGAUUUUAUUUUCGUGGCUCAAAAGACUCGGUAAUUAAAUUUUUUUCUGUUUUAAUUUAAUUAUUUAAAACUUAAAUAGAAUAAACUUGUAGAUAAGAUUUAAUUAACUUCUUUGGACAUGGGUUCAACUCCCAUCAUCUCCACCC